rnacentral:misc_RNA from 1 species
GAUGAAGAACGUAGCGAAAUGCGAUAAGUAAUGUGAAUUGCAGAAUUCAGUGAAUCAUCGAAUCUUUGAACGCACAUUGCGCCCGCCAGCAUUCUGGCGGGCAUGCCUGUUCGAGCGUCAUUUCAACCCUCGAGCCCCCCCGGGGGCCUCGGUGUUGGGGGACGGCACACCAGCCGCCCCCGAAAUGCAGUGGCGACCUCGCCGCAGCCUCCCCUGCGUAGUAGCACACACCUCGCACCGGAGCGCGGAGACGGUCACGCCGUAAAACGCCCAACUUCUUAGAGUUGACCUCGGAUCUGGUAGGAAUACCCGCUGAACUUAAGCAUAUCAAUAAGCGGAGGA